GCGACGUUGAUAGCCGCAGCUGCGGUGUC
rnacentral:sRNA from 1 species